CAUCUCCUCACUCAGAAUCAAAUCAGAAAAGCUUUAUUGCUAAGUAAAUUCUUUUACACAUAGAAGGAAUUUGUUUUGGUGUCGUUGGUGCAUGUCACACAUUCUCUAAAUAGAAUAUAAACAAACAGUUUAGCAGAACAG